rnacentral:rRNA from 1 species
GCCUAGCCAUAAACAAAGACGGUGUAAUCACAACACCGUUCGCCAGAGAACUACAAGCAUAAAACUCAAAACUCCAAGGACUUGGCGGUGCUCCAAUCAACCUAGAGGAGCCUGUCCUAUAAUCGAUACUCCACGAUUUACCUCACCACCCCUUGAAACUCAGCCUAUAUACCGCCGCCGUCAGCCUACCUUAUGAAAGAAGCAAAGUAAGCAAAAUAGUCACUAACUAGAACGUCAGGUCAAGGUGUAGCACAUGGGCUGGAAGAGAUGGGCUACACUCUCUAAGCUAGAGAAUUACGAAUAGCACAAUGAAACACUGCUUAAAGGCGGAUUUAGUAGUAAGAUAAGCAAGAGAACUUAUCUUAAACAAGCCCUGGAGCGCGCACAC